AAAACAAAUAUAUAAACGAAAAUACCUUUAUUUGCUUCCAAUUACUGACACUGCGAUUAUCUCUUUAUCAAACUAUGUUCUUGGGUUCUACUUAAAACUUUUUGAUAUGGAGAUUUCAUAUGGGAAAAAUCUUUAUGUUCUUUCGAUUAUUCUCAAACGACGUUGUUUUGGACAGAUUAACAGUUAUUAACGGGUUUCUAGGUUCUACUGAUAAAGACAUGUCUAUUUUGGUCUGGUCAACGAUAUUUUUAUGUCUUAAAUGGUAGUCAACGUUUAGUUCAUGUUUUAAAUGGCCACAUAAAAAGUUGAUGUUUAAAAUGGCCACAAUUUAAAACUUGACUAAUAAAGUUAACGGAUGAUAACGGACGUUAGAAAUUCCGUUAAUGACUGAUAACGGCAUGUCUAUUUUGGCCUGGUCAACGAAAGAUCAUGUUUUAAAAUUUAAUCAACGUUUAGUUCAUGUUUUAAACGGCCAUAUACGAAGUUGAUGUAUAAAAUGGCUAUUUUUUAAAAGUUGGAGGAUUAAAUGACAUUUUUCCCAAACUAUAAAUUAGCAAGACUUUUUAACCACACUUUUGUGGAGCAUCCACCACGACUUUUAAACUCCAUGAAUCGUUGUACAAAGACCAUUUGGCUAU
rnacentral:sRNA from 1 species